AUUGGUUUGGCCCAACAUUUGGCCCUAGAAACCCGUGCUUAGGGUUGGUCGUCGACUUCUUCUUCCAGAAGCGACCUCGCCGAUGUAAUUGACGAAACCAAACCGUCGAUCUGAGUUCUGUAACGCCUCCUGAUCCAUAAAUCAUUUCUUUACUUUGAGUUUUCCUCAAUUAAUCCACUCCACUCAUGUUAAUCAAACAAAAUACCUCUUCUUUUUCCACCGUGACUGGUUCGAGCUUCCCCUAUAAAUGUCUCUCAUUUCUUCGAUGUGGAGUACAACGCAAACAAUUUCCAAAAGCAAUUAUUUGGAUGUUGGAGUCUGUGUCAAAUAUUCAAAUAACACAAUUGAGGAACCACAAUAGUUAUCUCACACUGAUGUUUCCUGCGACUGCGAUAAUUCAGCGUCCAACGCUCCAUCCUUGGAGAUUGGUCACGUUUAGACUACGGAGUUGAGCUUCAGGAUACGUUGAUGUUAGGUACAGAAUACUACCACACUGAAUCUGGGAUUGCAUCUCUAUUAACAGAAGGAAAUGUCCCAAUAUGUAUUGGCAGAGAGACAAAGAUCAGUUAAGUUUUGAAAAUACAUAACUAGAAACCUUUUCAAACAUCAAUCAAAUUAUUUUCUGGUGAUUUAUACAGGAAAUGCAUCAUUGACAAGAAUGCUAAGCUUUCCUUGAAUAUCUUGUCGAAGGAUUAUAUAUUCGAUCUGGAAUCACUUUGGUAGUGGAAAAGGCUACAAUUCAAGACGAUGUUACUUGAUACGCAAGCCAUGAAGACAAUUCUUAUAGAAAUUCCUUCCCUUAUCAGACUGACUUCAACUGCUGCCAGCUACUCUAAAUUUGUGAUUGUGAGCCGUGAAAUAAAAAGUGCUUUAGUGGCAUACUGUCCCCCCAGUCGAUUCAGUGGUAGACACUUAUCAUACUCCUCUUUUUACCUUGACUAUGUAGUAACAAGAUUGACAGAUCUGCACUUUCUCCUUUUUCCCUUUAGACUAUGAGGUUUUGUGCUCUGCAUCAUGGGUUAGAUUUCUAUUUCUUAUUUCUAUUCAACUGUUUAAGAAUCUCUCAGAAUUUCAUUCCACAAUGUCAAAAACUGUCUCCAGAUUUUCCAGGUAAAGUAACUUGCAAAAUCUUAACUUCCUCUGUUCUCUACGUAUCUUUAAUGUUUGAUUGAUAUUUUCGCAGAUGAGGCCCUGCAACAACAUAAUCCGACAUUGAAGAGACUCGCAAGAGGCUCUUGCUGCUUAAAAAGCUUCUUGAAGAGGUCUUCGAUGCUCUCAAGAACCUCACUGUUGACUUGGUUUUAACUGCUCAUCCUACUCAAUCUAAUCAUUGGUCUUUGCUCCAAAUUUUUGGGAGGUUUGUAGACCUUUUCCUGAGUGUCUAUGCUUGAUAAAUGAUGUGUUUAACUGUUGAACAUUUCUGAAUCCAUGAAACCCGCAAGUAACUCAUGAAGUUACAUAUAUAUAUAUGCUUACGAGCUUGGUUCGAGGUUGGAGGAUCAGUUCACUCAUUCACCAUUCCUAUUGCAAUUUGAAAGUUGAAGAGUCUUUUUUU